rnacentral:rRNA from 1 species
AUGCUUUUCCCCCUUUCCUUUCUCUCUCCUCUCCUCUCACCCAUCCAUUCCACACAUCCAUCCACCAGGAUUCAGGAGAGAGAGAGAGAGAUUGUGCUGGUUCUCUGUGCCAGGCGGUUCGUCGGUUGGGAUUGGGUUGCUUGCGUCUAUUGCAGAAAGAGAGUUGAAUCCAUCCAGCAAACCUAUGGGAGCUGGCUCCUGAGCCGCGGCGGCGGGCGGGCGUAUCUGCUGGGAGAUGAAACUGGAAAGGUUUUGCAUUAUCUGCCAUUCCAAGUUUUCCUGCUAGCAGUAGACAUCAUGGGGUCUGGAUCAGUGACUCUGAAGGAAAAGAAACGAGUGAAACAUACAAAGAACAAGUACUUGAAGCCUGGUGCCCUGGCUCAAAUUCGUUAUAGUAGGAGCACAAGCAGGGAUAUAGGGAAGAAACGGAUUCUGUUGAAUGUGGAGAAGGACGAUGAGCUGGAGACAUCACCACAUGCCGAGGUUGUGUUUGAAAGCAGUACACCAAUUAUGUCUCCAGCAAGACUCAGUUUUGAGACAUUUAGUGGCAUCAAGGGACAGUUGUUGCCAACAACUCCAAAGACUCCUCAAGCAGCUGAAUGUGAUGGCCAUUCAAGGCUUGAGUCACUUCCACUUGAUCUGUUGAUCAAGAUCGUCUGUUACUUGCACCAUGACCAGCUGAAGGCUGUUUUCCACGUUUCAUCAAGGAUCCGAAAGGCAGUGGAACUGGCACGGCAGUACCAUUUCAACUACACCACUCCAGAUCGCAGCAGGCAGGAACUGCUCCAAAACAAGACCCCUCUCCGGAGUGAGCAUUGGCCUUUCAUGAGCAGAAUAGACGGCAAGGAUGUGAGGGUCGCCACCCCAAGAACCCCAAAGGCCCCAAAACAUGGCCCUCGGCCUUCACGUUUCAAGCUGCUUGACGUGAAGCCGAUCACAGCCGUUCUUUUCCCAGAUUCGUUGCCUUCAAAAAAGCGCCGUCUGCGGCGUCUGAUGCCGCCAGGAUUGCCAAGGCCUGUACCCAAAGCCGCAGCCUCUCCCAGAGUUUUACUAUACGAGGAAGAGCUUUGCGAAGCGGUGGCGCAGAAUAAGCUUCUAUGA